rnacentral:lncRNA from 10 species
AUGCAACUACAUUUGGAUGGGUCAGUGGAUGCUUAAGAGGUAAAGGGUUAGAAGAUACAAGGGAAGCACUGAAAGCAUCUGUUACUCUGUGCAAUUGUGAAAACGUUAUUUCAUUUCUCUAGGCUUCCAAUAUUGCAUUGGUAAGAUAUGAUUCAUUGAAUCUUCCAACAAAUAUUCAUGGAGCACUUAGUAUAUACCCGGCAAUCUUCAGGCCACAGGAAACAGAAUGUUGAGUUACCAUGACAAAGUCACUGUCACAGAGCCAGUGGGGAAAGCAGCCUCUAAACAUGCCACCCAGAGCCAAGAAGUCCAGUAUCUCACUCCACAUCUGCCUUCUCGUGGUCCAACACUCUGCCGACUCAGUUAAUCCAAAGAUCACUUCCAAACUUCAGGCUGGUGGAAACCUGAGGAGUCGGAUCCAUUCAUAGGCAGCCCCAUUUUCACCUUCCCUUGUCCCCGAGGCUGCCAUUAGGUUGAAAACCAGUCUGGUACUGUCAGCGUGUCUUUGUCUACAGCUAUGAAAAAGUCCACAUAGUCCAGUCUCUACAUAGGGCACAAUGAUUCUCCUCUACAUCUCAGCUACCAGGUACCAGCUUGUCGAACACACAUGCAAACAUUCAAACCCUUCUCAGGUUCCCCUCUAGGGCCUUCAGGGACUUAUCUGGCAUACCUGAGGUUGGGGCCAUUGCAAUCUAUUCUUAGUCUAGUGUUAAGCCGGGUCAACAGCGGAGAUGCUCCUUCUCCUUGAACUAAUUUUAUUUCCAGAGUUUCAUUUUCCUUCCCUGCAACAUUAGACACCAUUUGGGGAUAUUUUUAUCCAUCCAUAUGGAUUUCAAAAUCUCAUAAAGAAGGAGCUGGGAGAAGAAUGAGGAAUCACUGAUUUUAAUGACUGUAUUUGUUGAUCUCUUACUCCAUUCCUGG